GAGCAUCUACUGCUGGGUGAUGUUUUGGUCAUGGAGAAGAUGCAGGAGUGGAUCCUGUGAGAAGAGACCAGGAGCUGCCCCCCUGUCAGACAGAGCAAUGCCCAGGCACAGGUUUUACCCAGGUGAUAGAAAUGAGGGAUUGCUGGGAACUGCAGCUUCCAACGAGUGAGAUGUGUAACCAGCUUGCCAGUGAGCAGCAAGAGUCUGGGGCACUGACACUGAACAGAAUUGUAUCAGCUGG